UCCGAGUUGACCCCGGCAGUCUCCCGUGAGUCCCCACCACCCCCGAAGGAGCGUGCUGGCAACACAGGAUAAGGGUUGCGCUCGUUGCGGGACUUAACCCAACAUCUCACAACACGAGCUGACGACAGCCAUGCAGCACCUGUCUGAGAGCUCCCGAAGGCACCAAGGCAUCUCUGCCAAGUUCUCUCGAUGUCAAGGGUAGGUAAGGUUCUUCGCGUUGCAUCGAAUUAAACCACAUGCUCCACCGCUUGUGCGGGCCCCCGUCAAUUCAUUUGAGUUUUAACCUUGCGGCCGUACUCCCCAGGCGGUCGACUUAUCGCGUUAACUGCGCCACUAAGUUCUCGAAGAACCCAACGGCUAGUCGACAUCGUUUACGGCGUGGACUAC
rnacentral:misc_RNA from 1 species